rnacentral:rRNA from 1 species
CCUACGGGUGGCUGCAGUGGGGAAUAUUGGACAAUGGGCGAAAGCCUGAUCCAGCCAUGCCGCGUGUGUGAAGAAGGCCUUCGGGUUGUAAAGCACUUUCAGUGGGGAAGAAAGCCUUGGGGCUAAUACCCUCGAGGAAGGACAUCACCCACAGAAGAAGCACCGGCUAACUCCGUGCCAGCAGCCGCGGUAAUACGGAGGGUGCGAGCGUUAAUCGGAAUUACUGGGCGUAAAGCGCGCGUAGGCGGUCUGAUAAGCCGGUUGUGAAAGCCCCGGGCUCAACCUGGGAACGGCAUCCGGAACUGUCAGGCUAGAGUGCAGGAGAGGAAGGUAGAAUUCCCGGUGUAGCGGUGAAAUGCGUAGAGAUCGGGAGGAAUACCAGUGGCGAAGGCGGCCUUCUGGACUUACACUGACGCUGAGGUGCGAAAGCGUGGGUAGCAAACAGGAUUAGAUACCCUGGUAGUC